UCCAGGUGGAGGUGCUGUAGGAGAAGCAGAGCUGCAUGUUUCGGUGUAAAUCAGAAGACGAAGCAGCAGCAGAGAAGAAGCAGUUGUGCGAUGGGAACAUGUGACGUGUGAGUGUGAGUAGUGACAGUUGUGUACCGGGGAGUGUAAAAAGACUGGGUCCCGCUGUAUUACUCAGGCUGCACUACAACGUCUAUUCACAGGCGCGAUCCCACUACUGAGCGGCACGGGGGCUUUGGCCUGCUCCGUUUCCGACCUGGGCCGAUGCACCCCUCCUUAGACGACCUGGUGGUCCCGGGCUCCCCCGGCAGCACCAUAUCGAUACCGAACUUAGUGCGGACACCCGAUCGACAUAGUCCGCUGCAGCUCAGAUCUCCUGAGCUCAAACGAUCCGCCAGACUCAGCCUCCCGGUAACUUGGAUUACAGGCGCGCGCCACCGCGCCCGGCGAGGAACACACUCACUCACAGGGAUUUUGAGUCUGGCCGACGUGACGUCAUCCACUUAUUUCCCAUCACAUUCAUCAGCUGAUACUGAUUUUACAUUCAACUCAUUUUGGACAUUACACAACAUAAACACAGUUCUGACCCUUGUUGAUUGACUGACACAUCAUAGUAAAAUCGGAUAUGAUUUUAUUAAUCGCUGAAAACAAACAACAUACUAUUUGAUCCUAUCUGUAUCAGUUUUAUCUUGUUUGUAUCAAACACUGAUGUCACUUUGAUGUAUCAGUCAAAUUCAACAAGUCAGAACUUUAAAAAACAACAACAAUGAAAGCCACUAGAUGUCGCUGCAGCAUGCUUAAUCAUGACGUCACGUCGGCCAGACUCAAAGUCCCUGUGAGUGAGCCUGUUUCUCGCCGGGCGCGGUGGCGCGCGCCUGUAAUCCAAGUUACCGGGAGGCUGAGUCUGGCGGAUCGUUUGAGCUCAGGAGAUCUGAGCUGCAGCGGACUAUGUCGAUCGGGUGUCCGCACUAAGUUCGGUAUCGAUAUGGUGCUGCCGGGGGAGCCCGGGACCACCAGGUCGUCUAAGGAGGGGUGCAUCGGCCCAGGUCGGAAACGGAGCAGGCCAAAGCCCCCGUGCCGCUCAGUAGUGGGAUCGCGCCUGUGAAUAGACGUUGUAGUGCAGCCUGAGUAAUACAGCGGGACCCAGUCUUUUUACACUCCCCGUACCUCCACCUGGAGGACAGCCGCUACUACCCCACCCACUCUCAACACUUCUCCUAAUAUCCUGCAGGGGGCGCUAAAGCAUUAUUGCAGUAUUCAAGUGUUUUACCAACAUUGACUUCACCCGUGAGCAACAUGACAUGUAACAUUCAAAAUGUGUAUCUUCUUCUAAUAAGUGUAUAAUUUUU